AGGGGAUUGCCGGAUCCUGGGCUGUGCCCCCGGCGCCCAGGACUCUGGGGCCUGCGCCACUGGAAUUGCUCUCCCAGGGCCAAGCAUCCCCCU
rfam:Canis lupus familiaris chromosome 8, whole genome shotgun sequence.